rnacentral:rRNA from 1 species
GAUCAUGGCUCAGGAUGAACGCUAGCUACAGGCUUAACACAUGCAAGUCGAGCGGAACUGCUCGGCAGUUAGCGGCAGACGGGUGAAUAACACGUAUCCAACCUUCCCCUUACUCGGGUAUAGCCUCGGGAAACUGAGAGUAAUCCCCGAUGUGGUGUACGCUUCGCAUGUAAUGCACACCAAAGAUUAAUCGGUAAGGGAUGGGGAUGCGUUCCAUUAGCUAGUAGGCGGGGUAACGGCCCACCUAGGCGAUGAUGGAUAGGGGUUCUGAGAGGAAGGUCCCCCACAUUGGAACUGCGACACGGUCCAAACUCCUACGGGAGGCAGCAGUGAGGAAUAUUGGUCAAUGGCCGAGAGGCUGAACCAGCCAAGUAGCGUGCAGGAAUGACGGCCCUACGGGUUGUAAACUGCUUUUGUGCGGGAAUAACGGUCGACACGUGUGUUGAUGUGCAUGUACCGUACGAAUAAGGAUCGGCUAACUCCGUGCCAGCAGCUGC